CCAUCUCCCUUCUGUCCCAAUCCUAAGGUACUCACAGUGUAUAUAACCCAGUUCCCUUCUGUUCCAAUCCUAAGGUACUCACAGUGCAUAUAACCCAGCUCCCUUCUGUCCCAAUCCUAAGGUACUCACAGUGUAUAUAACCCAGUUCCCUUCUGUUCCAAUCCUAAGGUACUCACAGUGCAUAUAACCCAGCUCCCUUCUGUCCCAAUCCUAAGGUACUCACAGUGUAUAUAACCCAGUUCCCUUCUGUUCCAAUCCUAAGGUACUCACAGUGCAUAUAACCCAGCUCCCUUCUGUCCCAA